AAACCAACAGGGAUUGCCCCAGUAACGGCGAGUGAAGCGGCAACAGCUCAAAUUUGAAAUCUGGUCCCCCCGCGGGGCCCGAGUUGUAAUUUGAAGAGGAUGCUUCUGGCAAGGUGCCGUCCGAGUUCCCUGGAACGGGACGCCGCAGAGGGUGAGAGCCCCGUACGGUCGGACGCCGAGCCUCUGUGAAGCUCCUUCGACGAGUCGAGUAGUUUGGGAAUGCUGCUCAAAAUGGGAGGUAAACCCCUUCUAAAGCUAAAUACCGGCCAGAGACCGAUAGCGCACAAGUAGAGUGAUCGAAAGAUGAAAAGCACUUUGAAAAGAGAGUUAAAAAGCACGUGAAAUUGUUGAAAGGGAAGCGCUUGCGACCAGACUCGCGCCCGUCGGAUCAGCCGUCGCUCGUCGGCGGCGCACUCCGGCGGGCUCGGGCCAGCAUCAGUUCGCCUCGGGGGGAGAAAGGCGGCGGGAAUGUGGCUCUACGGAGUGUUAUAGCCCGCCGCGUAAUACCCCCGGGCGGACUGAGGACCGCGCGUAUGCAAGGAUGCUGGCGUAAUGGUCGUCAGCGAC
rnacentral:rRNA from 2 species